GACGAACGCUGGCGGCGUGCUUAACACAUGCAAGUCGAACGGAAAGGCCCUGCUUUUGCGGGGUGCUCGAGUGGCGAACGGGGGAGUAAAACGUGAGUAACCUGCCCUUGACUUUGGGAUAACUUCAGGAGACUGGGGCUAAUACCGGAUAGGAGCUCCUGCUGCAUGGUGGGGGAUGGAAAGUUUCGGCGGUGGGGGCUGGACUCGCGGCUUAUCAGCUUGUUGGUGUGGUAGUGGCGUACCAAGGCUUUGAAGGGUAGCCCGCCUGAGAGGGUGACCGGCGACAUUGGGACUGAGAGACGGACCAGACGCGUACGGGAGGCAGAAGUGGGGAAUAUUGCACAAUGGGCGGAAGCCUGAUGCAGCAACGCCGCGUGCGGGAUGACGGCUUUCGGGUUGUAAACCGCUUUCGCCGGAGACGAAGCGUGAGUGGCGGUAAUGGGUAAAGAAGCACCGGCUAACUACGUG
rnacentral:rRNA from 1 species